UUUCCAGUUCCUAGCUUUGCAGAUAAGAG
rnacentral:piRNA from 1 species